rnacentral:lncRNA from 1 species
UGAGGUAAUGUGAGGAGUAGAGAAAUUGCUUUAGACAAACAUUACUGUUUGGAAAUACUCGACCUAAGUGGAUUCAGUUACUUUCUGAGAGUUCAGCGAGGUUGGAAUGAAGAUUGUAAUUUGAGUUGUAUAUAAAACAGAGAAAGAAAAACAUUUUGCCAACUCUUGCAUUCAUAUAUAUUUUCCAUCCCUGACAUGAUUAUGUUUUUAUAUUUCCCCAAUUAGAUUUUAAACCAUUUGUAGGGAGGAAACUGGGUUUCUUUUAACAAGGUCUCCCAGGCACGUACCGCAGGGUUAAGUACCUUACAGACUCUCGGUAAAUACUGACUGCCUGAGGGGAAGUGAAUAUUCCCAAGGGUGUUUCCUUAGGGCUUGGUAUUUUCCGUGAGAAGCAGACCUCGUGUGGAAGCGUUGUUCCUUUAAGUUGGGAUGGUUUCCUGAAAGGUUUCAGCACAAUGACACUGAUUAGCUGCCAGACUAAUUGCUCACCACCACCAACCUUGUUUCGUAAGCAAACUGGGCCCGAGGGUAAAAUAACAUGCACACUGAGCCAAACUUUCCAACAUGUGCUCCUAACCCUUCCCCCUUGAAUUCAGAAAGUGACCUUUUGGUGAACAAAUGUUCUUUCACCUUCACUGUUUAGAAGUUGUUAACACCGGGCCAGCGACGUGAUUGAUGCACGUGCUUUCCCCUCCUCUGGAGUAGGUUCCACUGUUUCCCCCUCGGAGCUGUGAACUUUUAUAUUGUUUUCCUUUGAUAAGGUGGCUGGGUUGCCCAUAAAUUUGAAUGUAUGUUUUAAUGACCUGGUGGUUGCUGAAAGAGUGUUAUUCUGCUUUGUAGGCUUCUGGCUUUUCUUCUUCAAGGCACACUUCUGGCUAAACGUUUUCUGAACAUGGCCUUCUCUUAGUAAUCUGUUUGAAAAGUCUGUGAUUUCCCACCCUCCCCCCGCACCUCCACAAGCCCACCUGGGUCUCUUGUUUGCAGUUUAAUUAGUUUAAUUCUCAGGCAAAUGAGAAAUCUUUUUUGAAUCUAAGGAUGCCAGAUCUUUAAAGUCAGUUCUUUCAGCAAGCUUCAGUUUUCCAAGUAGAAGAAACAUCAGAAAGGAUGGAAAGAUCAGUGCUGAUAAUUCUUAGUUAUUUUUAAUUUUGGGGGGUGGGGGCGAGUGUGGAGAGUAAGGGUAAAUCCUUCCUCAAAGCCCAACAUUGCAGAUACCAACAAAAGGGGAGAUGGAGGCAGUAGGGAAGAGUGAUUAAAGGUACCAACUAGGAGGUUAAGUGUGUGACUUUGGGCAAAUUACUUAUCCUGUCUGUGUCUCAAUUCCCUUUCCUAUAAAGUGGAAAUUAUACUAAUAGUACCUACCUCACAGGGUUGUUAUGAAGAGUAAAUGAGUUAAUAUAUACAAAGUGUGUAGGCCAGAGUGCCCGGUGCAUUGAAGGUGCUACGUGAAUGUUAGCUAGUAUAGAUUCUCCAACAAUUCUGGAAUCCCAACAGUUUUGACAUCAAACAAUGGUUAUUUUUCAGUUUUUUAAAGUAAUUUAUUUGAUGGCAGAACUAACCUGAACUGUUGAGAAUAUUUUUGUCUUGAUUUCAUUUAAUGUGAAUAUAAGUUUUGCUAUGGAAAUAUUAAUGUGUUUGAUGUGGGGCCUGCCCCAGUCUACCAGGUGGGUUAUAGAUAUACGGUAUAUGCACCAUAUUACAUUUACAACAUCAGAAACAUGCUGAAUUCUGAAACAUAUCUGACAGCACAGGUUCAGAUAAAACACUGGAUGUAUGCCGAGAUAGAAAAAUAUAUUGGCAAAAAUACUUCCUAUUUAUUACCUAUCCUGCUUCUUCUUGGUUAUACCCCUUGGUGUUUUUCUCAUAGGACUGAAAAAAAAAAAUAGAAAUUUCACAGGCUGUUAUUUUAUUUGUGAAUAUUUAUUGAACCCAUACCAUGUGCUAAGCAGUCAAGGUCCUCUGCUGUCAGGGAGCUGAUUGGCCAGUGUUAGCUAUAUAUUAUUAAGGGCCUACAAUGUAAAAGGCCUUAAUCUAGAUACAUUAUUCACAUAAUCUCUAGUUCUAACAAUAAUCAGUUCUACAAAUAAAGGAAAAAUGCUCUGAGGCAUUAAAUAACCUGCUCAAAGCUAGUCACCUAUUCAAAGCAGGUAAAUGGUUGAGCUGGGACUUAAAUUCCAGUCUGGGUGGCUCCAUGGCCUGUGCUCUUUCCACUUUACCACAUUUGCUCUUGCUAAGAGCACUCAGAUCUAAUGGCUCUUAAAGAGAGUCUUGUAGACUUUAAUCUCUUUCUGACAUGCCACGUUAUGUGAGGCCUGACAAACAAGAAAAGCUCACUGGUGCACUUGACCUCCCUGGAAAGGUUGUGUCACCGUGUGCAGGGGACACGUCAGCAGUCAGUGGACAAGUCAGGCAAGUCACAGAUGAACAUUAUGGAAUGGGGCAUACAUGAAAUACUGGAAACUAGUUUGUGUAACAACCAUUUGUAAUUCUUAUGGAAGUAAAAUUUAUAUACCAUUGAAAUCACAGAUCUUAACUGUCCAAUUCAAUGAAUUUUGGCCAUUGCUUCUGUUAUGGGGUAAACUGUGUCCCCUCAAAAUGCAUAUGCUGAAUGUGACUGUGUUUGGAGAUACAGUCUUUUAAGGGGCUAUUAAUGUUAAAAUGAGGUCAUUAGGGUAAGCCCUAAUCCAAUGUGACUGAUGUCCUUAUAAGAAGAGAAUAUCUGGACACAGGUAGAUGAACAGAGGGAAGACCUUGUGAAGACACAGAACGAAGAUGGCCACCUGCAAGCCAAGGAGAGAGGCCUCAGAAGCAACCAAUCCUGUCACCUUUGAUCUUAGAUUUCUAGCCUCCGGGUCUGUGAGAAAAAUGCAAUUCUGUUGUUUAAGCCACCAGUCUGCGGUACUUGACUGUGGCAGCCCUAUAGCAAACUCAUAUAGCCUCUAAUGGACCAUCACUCCAAUGCUGUGAAUAUUAAGUUCUACUAGGUUCAGGCAGACCCUGAGCUAAAUGGCAGCCUAUGUAUUACUCAAAACCUCAGAACAUUUACACCAAUCACUUCUUUUAAAAAAAUUCUAGUCGAUAUUUUAAAAAAAAUACUUAUUUGAUGGUUUCGAAAUAUUACAUUAAGUUUGGCUGGGCGUGGUGGCCCACACCUGUAAUCCCACCACUUUAGGAGGCCAAGGUGGGCGGAUCACUUGAGGAAAGACUAUAAUAACCUAAAAACCUUAUUUGAGCUGAUUGUACAAUUGUUGACAAAUGAUGCAAGCUUGCAUUUUCUCUGAAUUUUGCACAUUUCUAGUGUAUUCAUGACUUUAUAUGGAUGUAGCUCUAAGGCUUUAAUAGAAUGUCUUAUUUCUCAUUCCUGUGGGUGUCCAUGUGUCUAGGACCCCUGAAUAAUGGCCUGUCUGCAGCAGGACAGGGCGCAGACAAAACCUCUCAGACACCGAGUUAAAGAAGGAAGGGCUUUAUUCAGUUCAGAGCUUCGGCAAGACUCAAGUCUCCAACAACCGAGCUCCUCGAGUGAGCAAUUCCUGUCCCUUUUAAGGGCUCACAACUCUAAGGGGGGUCCACAUGAGAGGGUCGUGAUCGAUUGAGCAAGCAGGGUGUUAGAUAAGCACAGCAUUGGUAGCCAUCUCAGCCCAUGCUCUAUGGUCCCCCAAGUUGGAGGUCGGGGGGCAUGACUUUUGUUUUGCUUUGUGGGGUGCUUAUCCUUGGAGUUCUGUGGGUUUUCUGGAAAGGCAUUGCUGGGGUAUUGGGAGGGGAGAUGGGAAGGUUUUUACUGUCUAUCUUAAUUUACUGUUUGACAUUAUUGAUGCUAGUUUAUAAGCCCAUACCCUAAGGUGUUAGUUAAACAUUUAACGCCAAGAUUAUCUCCUAUUCCUCCAAAAAUGGAUCAAUUAGGUAUCUUAUUUUGGCUUGGAAAUAAAUGACGAGGUCACAACUCUGCAUAUAGUAUGACAAUUUGCUGAGUAUGUUUCCAUUAGCUAGAAAGACUUUGAGGGCAUGAAGAGUAGGCACUUUUUGGACUAACACCUGGUGUUAUGUGAGCAGUGGUGUUGCUCUAAUUUAUUGAAUGUCACAAUUCUGUAAGGGAACAAAGAACUCUGUUAGGCAGAUAUAACCUGGGACUAUUGCCAAAUUGCUUUCUGUGGUGGAUAUGAAAAUCAAUGAAUAGGGUGGAUGUGCAGCAUAAUCAAUGGAAAUGUGCUUGAUGAUGGUCACUGGUAUGUAGCCCUCUUGCAGGUAUAUUCAGGGAAAAUUCUACCUAUGACAUACUUGUAGAAGUACAAGUGUAAGUGGGUGAUGAGGAUCAUAUCGCAACUGUUCUCAGCGUCCCAUUUCUAAGUGUGUAGGCAAUGAACCCCGCUAGCUUAUGAAGCCGCGUGUUAUUGAAACAUGUUGCUCACACUUCUGUCCCUUGCUUUCUUCAUCCCUCCUUCCCUCUAAGCCCUAUUUGUCCCCUUAUGUUUUAUGAUGCCUCUGUCUAAUAAGGGAACUUGAAAGGCAGCCCCUCUGGUAUUUCCAGAGCUCUAUUUUGCAGGUACACCAAUCAGACGUAGAUUUGGUCUUUUCACAUAGUCCCACAUUUCUUG